GUGACGCCUAAAUAACACAUGGUGUGUAACUCUUGGACCAAGUACGCAAUCGGUGUGAGUCAGCUGAUUCUGAAGUGCAGAGAAGCGGCUUUGUGCCAUUUUAAAACACUUGGAGCUGACAGGCAGCACUUUUGUCAAGUGUUGUCUUCUUCAUUCAGGACUCACCCAGGUCUGCGGCCGUGUAUCGUAGUCCUCUGAAGCGUACGGCGUUGUCGUCAUAAACCGGUUUCCGAAGGUUUCUGCGUUCGCACAGUCGAGCCAGCAGCUGUCUGGGUGUCAGCUGGUCCCGCCACUGGUUAACCCCAGAUCUGACAGACAACAAGAGGAAAAAACAACAUCAGAACAUCACCCACCGACACAAAAACGGACACUGCUGGGUAUGUGUGGCCACUUACACACAGUAGGACCGCGGGAGGCCGCACGUGGCUCCGUACUUAGACAGGAGGCGGUUUUCCAGGUCAAUGACGGUCUCUCCAAUCUUCUCGUCUUUGCUCAAAAGGUCGUGGUCGUACAGCGUGACGCGAAGGUCCUUCUCCAGAGGGAGAGAACAGCUGAGCUCAAACAUCCUGAAGGAAAAGCCGUCAGGAGCACAGCUGUGAAAACUGAAGGGAAACUCUGGUGGAUCAUUCAGAGCAGCCUGCAGUCAGACUCUGCCCUUGGCCCCUGAACUCCCAUUGGUUUGCGUGCAGUGACCCCUACUGGCAGGAAACCAGGAGACGAGGUGCAGAACUUUGAAAGAGCUCAGUAGAAACCCGUCAAGAGCCUGCCGCUAACAGCACAGGUAUUUCAAAUUCUGUCGUUGGAAGGGACAAACAUUCCCCGGAUGAAAAUGAAAAUGACAGCAGUUGGUCAUCAAAAACCUACUAUAUCUGCAAAGAUACUUUUAAAAAAGUAUUUUUUUAUUCAUUAUGUUCUAGCUGGUUUAACCAGCAGAUAUAAGAACCUGAGGAUUGUCUUGUUUAUCACUGAUCAAUACCCAAAAGUGUAUUUAGGAGCUUCAUGCUGUUUAGCCCAAAGAAAUGAAGAAUAAAGUUGUUAAAGUUCAUCAUCAAAGGACCAAAAAGUCAAAGACGUUUCAAACAAAUAAACACUAUUGGAAAUUUGACUCUAAUCAUGUGUUAGGUUUUAGACCAAAUGAACAAAACUUUAUCUUUUUUUUCUUUUCUUUAUCUUUGUUUUCAUCUCUUUGAUCUCCCAGAUUUUAGUCUUUUUACCGGAGUCUACAAACAUCUCAAAGGCCUUUCUACACCUCGUUCUUUCUUCAAAGGACAGCAGACGGAUCUCUUCUGUAUGACCAGGCUAUGCCAUUAUGCCUCCUCCUGGUUAUAUCGUAUAUACCGCACUACAGGGUGCACCUGUUUUUAAAGGCACACCAUCAAUGAAUGCUCAAUUGUCAAGCGCAUGGCGCACCAAACUGUAAGGAGCAUUAAGUGAGACAAAAGAGUCAGCGGUGAGUCCAUCAGUCAGAUUACUCCUGUUGUUUUUUGAAAAAAAAUGAAGGCUCUAAAGUGCACCUUUCUAUUAUUGUUGUGUUCUUGAGUAUAAAAAACAAGGGUCCAAGUGUGUAGUUGCAUGAACGUUGUAUUUGAACUUGGCUAAAAAACGUGUUUUACAUCGCUCUCAGUGCACGUCUUGGUGUCCGUGUCUGACAGUCAACGGUCACUGCACACGGCACGUGCCGCGCGGUUGCUGUGAUGUCAUUAACGUGCGACUUUGAAGUUCUUCACACAACCCAAAAAAGCCUCAACGCACCAACUAUUAGGUGUUCUUUACCAUCUA
ensembl:lncRNA